CCUGUAAGCUCCAACCAGCAGGUGGAAUCCAGGAGUUCCAAGGUCCUAAGGGUCCUUACCCCUCAGCUGAGAAAAUAGGGAAAGCCUCAUAUUAGAUGUCAGUACACAAGUUCAGCCAAAUGCUUGUGAAAUUUCUUCUGAACGCAUCCCAGGAGACUUGACCCUCCCCGCUUCAGGAUGCUGACUCUGUUUUGCCUGAAACCAGACAAGCUCUGCUUCAGGGUCUGUGAGUGGAAGGGGGUGGGUGGGAACCUCUCGCAACCUCUCCUGGGACAGACACAAUGGGCAAUCGUGACCUCCUGGGGUAGAUACUGAAACUGUGACAAGUGAUAACAAAACUGGCAGAAAUCAGUUGGACCCAAUAUGGCCAACUGGAGUUUCUGCAGAAAGAGCUUGCUGAUAUCACAGCCUGAAUUUCCACGCAUGUUUCGUAUUAACUGCCCCGGAAUUUGAUUUGCACACAGCACCCAUGAGGAAGCAUGAAGAGAUAACUGCGCAUGUCUGAGGACUUGCCAGACCUCCUCUUUCCUUCCACCGAUCUCCUGCUAAUCCCGGAACCCACCCUCUAACCCUUUUCUAAUAAAAUUAUUUCCUUAAAGGCA